rnacentral:rRNA from 1 species
UCGAGAAUCUUCGGCAAUGGGCGCAAGCCUGACCGAGCGACGCCGCGUGGAGGACGAAGGCCUUCGGGUUGUAAACUCCUGUCGAGGGGAAAGAAGGCCCGCAAGGGCUUGACUGAUCCCUGGAGGAAGCACGGGCUAAGUUCGUGCCAGCAGCCGCGGUAAGACGAACCGUGCGAACGUUAUUCGGAAUCACUGGGCUUAAAGCGCGUGUAGGCGGGAGGGCACGUCCGUCGCUGAAAUCCCCCGGCUCAACCGGGGAACGGGCGCGGAUACGACCUUCCUCGAGGGACGUAGGGGGACCUGGAACUUCCGGUGGAGCGGUGAAAUGCGUUGAGAUCGGAAGGAACGCCCGUGGCGAAAGCGAGGUCCUGGACGUUUACUGACGCUGAGACGCGAAAGCCAGGGGAGCGAACGGGAUUAGAUACCCGCGUAGUCC